AACUUUAUGCAGAGGCAAUAUCGUAACCAUUGAGAUUAAUCCGAGGUGUGAUAAUUGCUAGUUGAAAACUAUACUAAGACCAUUAAAUUAAUUUCAUGUAAAAUAUUGUUGCGUUUGGAUUUUGACA